GCUGUUUGGAGGCAUCGGCCAGGUCGCGAGGAUAAAGCAAAGGCGCGGCUACAAGGAUCAGUGGCCCUGGAACAUCAAGCUCUACACUGACGACGGUGGAAACAACAAGGGCGAUGGCGUUCUUUGCUACGAGGAUCCAUCCGCGGCCCAUGCCGCCGGUGGCUUCUUCAAUGGCUACAACCUCAGAGGGAACGAGAUCAAAGUCUCCAUGGCGGAAAAAUCCGCUCCGCGACCCGAGAGAAGCAGCGGUCGUGGUGGCGGCGGAGGAUAUAGAGGUGGCGGCGGCGGUGGCGGUGGCGGUGGCCCGGAUAGACGAGACGGUGGAGGAGGGCACAGAAGUCGACCGUAUUGAGAGAACACACAGGAGGAAGUUUUUCUCUUCUUUUUUCAUAGUUCUUUGGUUUGGAUGGAUUUGCAUUCUACUUGUUUUUGUACGAUGCUCUCGGAUAUUCCCGGGGAUGGCAUAUGCUGGGCAUAACGGAAUCCGAGCAAAAAAACCGUCUGAUUCAUCUGACAGCGACGCGGCGACAACCGUCCGAUUCGGGGAUCCGACGGCGGAGGUUAAAGAGGCUUUUCCGGGAUCUAGUUGCCGCCCAAGGCGUGGACGAAAGGAUGAAUGUAUGAUCUCUUCGCGGGCACCAACGAUGCCCGGCGCCAGCGUGGGGCUCAAGCUGGGCGCCGCGAUCAGGAGCCCCAACCCUAAUGAUGCGCCCGGGAAUGCGGCUGCUCCCAGUCCCAGGAUUCACAGCGGCGGCGGCAGGAGGAGUGGCGGCGGCUUUAGCAGCGAUGCUCGACCUAGUGGCGCUGCCCAUGGCGGGAGUGUGAGCAGGGGGUUGCGAAAUAUCGGUCCAGUGAAUUCUUCUUCGCCGCCGAGAGCCAAGACAGGCAAGGCAACGACGACACAGGACUUGAGGAAAAAGCAGGUUUUAGGGUAUGCGGCAGUAGCGGCUGUGAGGCGGAGCUUGGAGCAGCAAUCCCCCUCCGGUAAGCAGCCGCCGGGGAGGAGCGCGCCUAACAAGAUCCGGCCUCGCAGCGAGCCCGGCCCGCGUAGCAAUGCCAAUCCAGAGGGCAGGCUCUUGUAUUCGGCGAGGGGCUAUCCUCCGGCUCCUUCAGUGAUUGCUUGCAGCUUGGAGCCUGCUACUUCCAAUUCCAUGGAGGAUGGGAACUUGGAUAGCAAGGAGAGCAAAAAGAAUCCUUCACUGCUUGUCUUCUCAGGGGGCACUGCGUUCAAUGGUGUUGUAGAAGAGCUCAAGAGGCUGACCACCAAUGUCACACACGUACUUCCAGUCUCCGACGAUGGAGGGAGCACGUCCGAAAUACUUCGUGUACUCGGCGGUCCGGCGCUUGGUGAUAUCCGAUCGAGGUGCUUGAGGCUUUCCGAUGAGAGUUGUUCUGAGGCAUUGGCUGUAAAGCGUUUGCUUGGCUACCGCUUGCCAGUGAAUAGCUCGGACGCAAAAGCGGAGUGGUACAAAAUAGUUGAAGGUGAGCAUGAGCUGUGGAACGAAGUGUCGGAGCCGUACAGAGAAACUAUCCGUGCUUUUCUUGUGUAUUUUCAAAGUCAGUUGCUCAUGCAUUCCACAAAAAAGUUCUCUUUUGGAAAUGGAAGCAUAGGAAAUUUUUUCUUUGCAGGGGCUAGAAUUUUUAUCCAGUCCCUAGACGCGGCUAUUUUUCUUUAUUCCCGUGUCUCGAAGAUUCCCGUGGAUAGCAUUGUUCUGCCUGCGAUUUCUACCAACGACAGGGUUACUCUUGGAUGUGAGCUAUACGAUGGUACGUUUGUGAGGGGACAGAAUGAAAUUUCGCAUCCAAUCAAGAGAAAUUGCGUCGGUGAAGGUGGAGGGGACGACUGUCAUGUUGUUGACAAGGGCAGGGAUUCCACACCUCCGCUUCCUUCCCCGAUCAAACGUAUUUUUUACAUGUCUUCUGAUGGCGCAAACGCUUCACACGAGGUAUUUCCCUGCGUAAAUCCUGAAGUUUUGAAGCGCAUAAGCGAUGUAGAAGCAGUUGUGUAUGGCAUGGGUUCCCUCUACACGUCAAUAUGUCCCUUACUGUAACCUUUGAACUAGGUUCUUCGUAACGUAGGAGAAAGCAUUGCGAAACAGACAUGUCCCAAGCUUCUCUUGCUGAAUGGUUCUCACGAUCGAGAAACCGCUGGCAUGUCCGCCUCGGACUUCAUCGUCUCAAUAUGCGACACAUUGAAUCGUAAAUACGGUGAUCCACAGUUCACGCUCGACAAUCCAGUAAGUCUCCAAGUUUCUUCCUGUUUUUUCGAUGCUAGCCUGGUAUUUGUUUCGCAGCCGACGGCUUAUAUCAACACUCUGCUGGUGCCAGAGAAUGGAAGCAUUUCCGUGGAUAGAGAGCAACUAGCGGCCUUGGGAAUCAACCAAGUGGUGGUAGUAGAUUCGAUUCAAGACGAGAAAUCAGGUACGAUUUUCGACCCAAAGUCACUGAUUUCAUGCCUCGAGACCGCGAUGUUGAAGAAAAACAAUAGUGAUGGCUUGGAUAGACGGAGGCUGUCGCCAACGCGCAAGCCAGCCUAGUUUUAACGAAUAAAAUGAAACGAUCCCCCCGCAUUGGAGGAUAUGCUUACACCUCA